GCCAUUUUAGUGAAAACUCACGAUCCCAACCAUGAACUUAAUUAUUACUCUGGUGACUUGCUUCUUCUUCUAGAGUAGAAUCCAUGUUCACAUGUGUGACUCUUGCGAACGUAGAUGCGACACCAAGUAAUUUGCUCGGACAACUAUUACUUCUUCUUCUUCUACUACAGUAGAUUCCAUCUUACUCUAGCCAACUUAAAUGUGACACCCA
rnacentral:lncRNA from 1 species